GCAAGAUUAAAACUCAAAGGAAUAGACGGGGACCCGCACAAGCGGUGGAGCAUGUGGUUUAAUUCGACGAUACGCGAAGAACCUUACCUGGCCUUGACAUAGACAGAAGUUUGCAGAGACGCAGAUGUGCUAGUUUACUAGAACUGUCAUACAGGUGCUGCACGGCUGUCGUCAGCUCGUGUCGUGAGAUGUUGGGUUAAGUCCCGCAACGAGCGCAACCCUCGUGUUUAGUUACUAAUAGUUCGGCUGAGGACUCUAAACAGACUGCCUGGGUAACCAGGAGGAAGGUGAGGACGACGUCAAGUCAUCAUGGCCCUUACGGCCAGGGCUACACACGUGCUACAAUGGGGUAUACAAAGAGCUGCAAUACGGUGACGUGGAGCAAAUCUCAUAAAAUAUCUCCCAGUUCGGAUUGAAGUCUGCAACUCGACUUCAUGAAGUUGGAAUCGCUAGUAAUCGUAGAUCAGCAAUGCUACGGUGAAUACGUUCCCGGGUCUUGUACUCACCGCCCGUCACACCAUGGGAAUUGAAUUCAUUCGAAGCGGGGAUGCUAAAAUAGCUACCUUCCACAGUGGAUUUAGUAACUAGGGUGAAGUCGUAACAAGGUA
rnacentral:rRNA from 1 species